GGUGGCUCAGUGGUUAAGCACUUGGCUGCUAACCAAAAGGCUGGUGGUUGGAACCCACCAGCCA
rnacentral:tRNA from 1 species